AAAAAAAAAAAAAGGAAGAAGAACGCAUAUACAAUCAUUUACAAAAAAUUUGGCAUUUGUACAUAAAUAAUAAUCACCUUCCAGUAGAACAUGUUCGUCUUUGCAGCCAACAAUGCAAUGAAUUCUUUGUGACCUUUAACCUCCGUAGAACAAUAGGACGUCGAGAGAGAGAUACCAUCUUCCUAUCUGUUCCACAACUUUUUGGCCACUUAGGAUCUGAAUCAAGAAGGCUUUCAAAAUCUGUCUCUCGGUCAGCCGUAAAUCUAGGGUCUGCAAUAAGAACCUCUAGCCCUAAUUCAUUCUGCAGAAGUUCAAAUAUUGUACGUUUCACCUCUGACUUCUGUGUGGCAGGAAGCAUAUCUACUUUAUCAACUCCUAAGGUUAUCCACAUGUCAUCUUUCACUGGACGUCCUAAAGAAUAAUUCUCUUUGAUCAUCCGGAGAACUGCAAGAACCACAAUCCGAGCUUCAACCUUUGUCAGGCCCUGCAGGUCAACAGAUAGAUUUUCAGCAAUACCGUUCUGCAAGUGUGCUGCAACUCUCUCUAGAAGCAGGCUGUGGGGUCCUCCAAAGUCAGAUUUUUUGUACGCUUCAAACUCAUCUUGGCUCUGAUCAUUAUCUUGCAUUACUCCUUCACACCACUCUUCAAUUAGUUGCUUAAGAUAGUAAUCAUUGGAUUUAUACCCUGCUUUCCUCAUAUCCUGAUAUAUAGCCAGGCAUUGUUGCACUUCUUUCAAAGAACCACAUCUGGUACGAGCUUUUAGCAAUGUAUCAUAUGUCACUAAAUUUGGUUUUAUUUGGUAUCUUUUCAUUUCUGCAAAUAAUGAAAAUGCCAGCUUCAAAUUUUUAUUUUCCACACAAACCUAUGAACCAAAACAGAAUGAAGAAUCUCAUCUGGGGAAAAUCAAAUGGAGAAAACCCUGAAAAAAAAAAGGAAAUUAAGAGUACAAUCCAGCGUAAAAAAAAAAAAAGGAAAACUUAGACCUUGAUAGCUGUUGUAUAUGCAACAACAUCAGGUUCAACUGCAACCCCACGCAUGUUCUUCAAAAUCUGCACCGAGGGGAUAUAUUCUCAUGAAUAUUUUGUCCAUAAUAACUACAGAAGCAAAAAUAAAAGAAGAAAAGAACAUAGUGACAGCCACUGGAAAGAGAGGAAGAGUUGUUUGAUGGAAAAUUUGGUUCUUGAAGUCAUUCAUGAAACAAUGUUAAGAAAGGGAAAAAAACUUAAGCCACAGCUUAAUCUGUCUAAAGAAUGGAAUCAUACAGCCUAUAUAAGGGGUCUUGCAAAUACAAGAAAUUCUUUAAGGCCCUUACCUUUUAGUUCCAAAAAGUACAACUUUAAGUAUAGAUCCUUUAUCAGUGUAAUCACUACAGAAAUUUAUUCAAGUGAUGAGUGUCUAGUGGGAUAGGGCAAAAGGUAAGUGGCAAAUGACAGCACCUAAUAUUAUUCUAGCUUACUGCAGAACAUGACACCCACAGUUCCCUAUAUGAGUUACAACAAAUGCAAUUGCUACUUAACUAAAUUCCCUUUUUUGGCUUUUACUCUCCUUUUGAAAAGUGGGUUAUGUUUAUUGGAUUUGGAUCCUUUUCAAAGAGCGGUAAUAGUGAUAUUAAGAUGAUACUCACAAUACGGAGAUAAUGAAAAUUAGGCACAAAGAUAAAAACAAAGAUCAACUGUAUUUGUAUGAUUAAGCUUACCUUUAAGGCACCCUCCACGUUGCCGGAACUUCCACAUAUAUCAAUCAAGAUUGACCAGCUUAUAUGAUUGGGGGAAAGGCCUACAGUCUUCAUCUCAUCCAUUAAGGCCUUUGCACGAUGGUAAUCACUACCACAUGCUUUCAUUAAUAUAUUAUAUGUUGUAGAUGAUGGCAUAAAGGGAAAGUUCUUAAUAAAGCCUAAAUGAUGUGAAUUAGAUGCUAUAUUUGGCACAGUAAUAAUAUCAUGUGACUGAGCGUGCUCUACAUUUGAAAUAGUAAUUGCACUUGCAUUGUUAUCUGCAUUGAAAAUAUCCUGGACUUCACUUCCCUUCCAAGUCUGGAAAAGCCGAAAAGCUCUAUCAUACUGGCACGCCUCUACACAAGCAUGUAAAAGGAUGUUGCAACACUGUGAAUUUGGUUCACACCCAGCUAAAUGCAUCUCUUCAAAUAAUUUAAUUGCCUGCUCUACAAGACCCGCAUUGGCACAGGCACUGAUCAAUGAUGACCAUGUAAACUUAUUAGGAUUAACACCAGAUGAUAGCAUAUCUUCUUUAAUUUUUAGUGCCAUUUGCCACAAUUUUGCAUCUGCAAAGAUCUUUAUGAUUGUGCAGUAUGUGAAGUCAUCCAACUUCAACUGUCCUGCUGAUUCCAACUGCUUUACUUCUUUAUAAACGUCUUGGGCCAAGUCCACUCUUCCAGCGAAUGAGCAUGCCUUCAAAAGGAUAUUAUAAGAUGCUAUAUCUGCUGUUACACCAAGAUUUUGCAUGUUCUUGUACACAUGCAAUGUGUAACCCAAAUCAUGGGCAUUCACAUUCAUGAGACUGUUAAAAACAUAAGUAUUUGGGAUGACCUUCUGAUUGAGUAUGUCCUCAUAAAUAUACCUGGAUUUCAUGUAGUCACCACAAAGACCACAAACAUCAAUUACAGCACGAUAUACAUACAUAUUGGGAACAUCUGAGUGCUGCUUCGAUGCUUCAUAUGCAGCCAAAGCAGCGUCCAAGUCCCCCUUUUUUCCAAAUUUUUUUAUAAUGCUACAGAAUAAUAUACCUUCAUGUGGAAAUAGACAUGCAUACCUAACCGCCAUCUCUGGGUUACGUUUAUGAAUACAGAUUUCAAUAAAUUGAGGUGGCUCCAUUAGUUCUUUGAUGCAGAAGGAAAAGCAUAAAAUCGCUGACAAAUGCAUGCAUAGAUAUGUAUCAUAGUUUUCACUUGAAUUGAGCUCUAUUGGCUGGACAAGAAGUAUGCCUCCCAAGAUGUCAUAGUGAUCAUGCACUGACAUCCCAUUUCUUCAGUAUUUUCUACAGUCGUUUUCAUCACUGAAAACUGAUUUCAACUCACAUUCAAGCCAAUUUAUCUAUCAGAAAGAGGAUCCCCUAAAAAAACAAAUGAAACCGAAAGGCAUGCGACUUCUAGACUAUGAGUACAGCAAAACAAACUAACAUGCAUAUGUUAAUCACCCCGAUAAAUAAUUGUUAAGAUCAAUUAGAGAAACAAAUGGCAAAAAACUAAUCAGAAACUGAAAAAUUUACCUGCAAGAGCCUCCAUUAAAACAACAAAUUGCUCCAGGUCAAGACAAUUCACAAUCCGCACAAACUCUGCUCUAAGCAAUUCCAUAGCUACCCCAUCAAACAGCUUCAACGGGGGAAUUCCCAGCUUCUCAACUCUCCUCAAAACCUCAACAACACUUUCUACAUUUCCCUCGCUAAGAUUCUUGGAAAUCCCCUUGGCCAAAGCCAUCACAUUGAGUCCAUCAACGAAAUGCGAAACCUCAACACCUGAAGCAAUCACUGACUCAGCAAUUAUAGCGAAGUCAUUGAGGCGGCCGUCCUCAACAAGCUUGGAAGCAAGGUCGAGGUAGUAGUUGAGGAGGGACUUACGACGUGCAAGGUCCAAUCGGGUGGUGGAGAGGAGCGGAGAGCGGGAAUGUAGUGUGGGGAUUGGCUUGGAUGAAGAAGGAAGAAGAUUACUCCGGAAUGAGGGUUUGGUUUUGGAUUUGGAGGAAUGGUGGUGAGGAGUAGAGGAGGAAGAUGGAUUAGGAGGAGUGACUAUGGAGGAGGAGCCUAGGAUCACAAGCUCUCUCAUCGUUGCUACUCCAAUGCCCCAACCGUCAUUUUUAGCGGGUUUAAGCUUAUGC
rnacentral:misc_RNA from 1 species